CUCUUGUUCAACGUUGGCCUAAGCCCUCUCAACCCUGCCGGUAUUUUCAUAUAUAUAUUUAUCAUUCGUUGCUUCCCUUUUCUUCUUGUUCUUUUGCUAAGCUAUGUCGAUCCUCUUUCAUUGCAGACAUGGAUGUUGACGCAGCUCGAAUGCUAGCCUAGGAUCUCAAGACCCACAAAAGGAAAGGCGCAACAUCCUCGGGGGCGGC
rnacentral:lncRNA from 1 species